rnacentral:rRNA from 1 species
GGGUUGUGAGGUUAAGCGACUAAGCGUACACGGUGGAUGCCCUGGCAGUCAGAGGCGAUGAAGGACGUGCUAAUCUGCGAUAAGCGUCGGUGAGGUGAUAUGAACCGUUAUAACCGGCGAUUUCCGAAUGGGGAAACCCAGUGUGUUUCGACACACUAUCAUUAACUGAAUCCAUAGGUUAAUGAGGCGAACCGGGGGAACUGAAACAUCUAAGUACCCCGAGGAAAAGAAAUCAACCGAGAUUCCCCCAGUAGCGGCGAGCGAACGGGGAGGAGCCCAGAGCCUGAAUCAGUGUGUGUGUUAGUGGAAGCGUCUGGAAAGGCGUGCGAUACAGGGUGACAGCCCCGUACACAAAAAUGCACAUAUUGUGAGCUCGAUGAGUAGGGCGGGACACGUGGUAUCCUGUCUGAAUAUGGGGGGACCAUCCUCCAAGGCUAAAUACUCCUGACUGACCGAUAGUGAACCAGUACCGUGAGGGAAAGGCGAAAAGAACCCCGGCGAGGGGAGUGAAAAAGAACCUGAAACCGUGUACGUACAAGCAGUGGGAGCCUCUUAAUGGGGUGACUGCGUACCUUUUGUAUAAUGGGUCAGCGACUUAUAUUCUGUAGCAAGGUUAACCGAAUAGGGGAGCCGAAGGGAAACCGAGUCUUAACUGGGCGUUAAGUUGCAGGGUAUAGACCCGAAACCCGGUGAUCUAGCCAUGGGCAGGUUGAAGGUUGGGUAACACUAACUGGAGGACCGAACCGACUAAUGUUGAAAAAUUAGCGGAUGACUUGUGGCUGGGGGUGAAAGGCCAAUCAAACCGGGAGAUAGCUGGUUCUCCCCGAAAGCUAUUUAGGUAGCGCCUCGUGAAUUCAUCUCCGGGGGUAGAGCACUGUUUCGGCAAGGGGGUCAUCCCGACUUACCAACCCGAUGCAAACUGCGAAUACCGGAGAAUGUUAUCACGGGAGACACACGGCGGGUGCUAACGUCCGUCGUGAAGAGGGAAACAACCCAGACCGCCAGCUAAGGUCCCAAAGUCAUGGUUAAGUGGGAAACGAUGUGGGAAGGCCCAGACAGCCAGGAUGUUGGCUUAGAAGCAGCCAUCAUUUAAAGAAAGCGUAAUAGCUCACUGGUCGAGUCGGCCUGCGCGGAAGAUGUAACGGGGCUAAACCAUGCACCGAAGCUGCGGCAGCGACACUAUGUGUUGUUGGGUAGGGGAGCGUUCUGUAAGCCUGUGAAGGUGGCCUGUGAGGGUUGCUGGAGGUAUCAGAAGUGCGAAUGCUGACAUAAGUAACGAUAAAGCGGGUGAAAAGCCCGCUCGCCGGAAGACCAAGGGUUCCUGUCCAACGUUAAUCGGGGCAGGGUGAGUCGACCCCUAAGGCGAGGCCGAAAGGCGUAGUCGAUGGGAAACAGGUUAAUAUUCCUGUACUUGGUGUUACUGCGAAGGGGGGACGGAGAAGGCUAUGUUGGCCGGGCGACGGUUGUCCCGGUUUAAGCGUGUAGGCUGGUUUUCCAGGCAAAUCCGGAAAACCAAGGCUGAGGCGUGAUGACGAGGCACUACGGUGCUGAAGYGACAAAUGCCCUGCUUCCAGGAAAAGCCUCUAAGCAUCAGGUAACAUCAAAUCGUACCCAAAACCGACACAGGUGGUCAGGUAGAGAAUACCAAGGCGCUUGAGAGAACUCGGGUGAAGGAACUAGGCAAAAUGGUGCCGUAACUUCGGGAGAAGGCACGCUGAUAUGUAGGUGAAGCGACUUGCUCGUGGAGCUGAAAUCAGUCGAAGAUACCAGCUGGCUGCAACUGUUUAUUAAAAACACAGCACUGUGCAAACACGAAAGUGGACGUAUACGGUGUGACGCCUGCCCGGUGCCGGAAGGUUAAUUGAUGGGGUUAGCGGUAACGCGAAGCUCUUGAUCGAAGCCCCGGUAAACGGCGGCCGUAACUAUAACGGUCCUAAGGUAGCGAAAUUCCUUGUCGGGUAAGUUCCGACCUGCACGAAUGGCGUAAUGAUGGCCAGGCUGUCUCCACCCGAGACUCAGUGAAAUUGAACUCGCUGUGAAGAUGCAGUGUACCCGCGGCAAGACGGAAAGACCCCGUGAACCUUUACUAUAGCUUGACACUGAACAUUGAGCCUUGAUGUGUAGGAUAGGUGGGAGGCUUUGAAGUGUGGACGCCAGUCUGCAUGGAGCCGACCUUGAAAUACCACCCUUUAAUGUUUGAUGUUCUAACGUUGGCCCGUAAUCCGGGUUGCGGACAGUGUCUGGUGGGUAGUUUGACUGGGGCGGUCUCCUCCUAAAGAGUAACGGAGGAGCACGAAGGUUGGCUAAUCCUGGUCGGACAUCAGGAGGUUAGUGCAAUGGCAUAAGCCAGCUUGACUGCGAGCGUGACGGCGCGAGCAGGUGCGAAAGCAGGUCAUAGUGAUCCGGUGGUUCUGAAUGGAAGGGCCAUCGCUCAACGGAUAAAAGGUACUCCGGGGAUAACAGGCUGAUACCGCCCAAGAGUUCAUAUCGACGGCGGUGUUUGGCACCUCGAUGUCGGCUCAUCACAUCCUGGGGCUGAAGUAGGUCCCAAGGGUAUGGCUGUUCGCCAUUUAAAGUGGUACGCGAGCUGGGUUUAGAACGUCGUGAGACAGUUCGGUCCCUAUCUGCCGUGGGCGCUGGAGAACUGAGGGGGGCUGCUCCUAGUACGAGAGGACCGGAGUGGACGCAUCACUGGUGUUCGGGUUGUCAUGCCAAUGGCACUGCCCGGUAGCUAAAUGCGGAAGAGAUAAGUGCUGAAAGCAUCUAAGCACGAAACUUGCCCCGAGAUGAGUUCUCCCUGACUCCUUGAGRGUCCUGAAGGAACGUUGAAGACGACGACGUUGAUAGGCCGGGUGUGUAAGCGCAGCGAUGCGUUGAGCUAACCGGUACUAAUGAACCGUGAGGCUUAACCUUACAACGCCGAAG